rnacentral:rRNA from 1 species
AAUUGGAGGGCAAGUCUGGUGCCAGCAGCCGCGGUAAUUCCAGCUCCAAUAGCGUAUAUUAAAGUUGUUGCAGUUAAAAGCUCGUAGUUGAAUUUCGGGAUCAAUAUUUCGGUCAUGCCGUUGGUAUGCACUGUUAUCAUUGAUUUCUCACCUUCUAAAGAACCGUAAUGCCAUUAAUUUGGUGUUACGGGGAAUUAGGACUGUUACCUUGAAAAAAUUAGAGUGUUUAAAGCAGGCUCACGCUUGAAUACAUUAGCAUGGAAUAAUGAAAUAGGACAUCCGAUUCUAUUUUGUUGGUUUCUAGGAUCGAUGUAAUGAUUAAUAGGGAUAGUUGGGGGCAUUAGUAUUCAAUUGUCAGAGGUGAAAUUCUUGGAUUUAUUGAAGACUAACUACUGCGAAAGCAUUUGCCAAGGAUGUUUUCAUUAAUCAAGAACGAAAGUUAGGGGAUCGAAGACGAUCAGAUACCGUCGUAGUCUUAACCAUAAACUAUGCCGACUAGGGAUCGGAUGAUGUUAAUUUUUUAAUGACUCAUUCGGCGCCUUACGGGAAACCAAAGUGU